AGGGGAUUAUUCAGAAAGUCUGUCUGG
rnacentral:piRNA from 1 species